rnacentral:rRNA from 1 species
CAGUCGCCGCGGGAAUACGUAGGGUGCAAGCGUUAAUCGGAAUUACUGGGCGUAAAGCGUGCGCAGGCGGUUUUGUAAGUCUGUCGUGAAAUCCCCGGGCUCAACCUGGGGAUGGCGAUGGAGACUGCAAGGCUAGAAUCUGGCAGAGGGGGGCAGAAUUCCACGUGUAGCAGUGAAAUGCGUAGAUAUGUGGAGGAACACCGAUGGCGAAGGCAGCCCCCUGGGCUAAGAUUGACGCUCAUGCACGAAAGCGUGGGGAGAAAAUGGGAUUGGAUACCCCCGUAGUCCCUGUCUCUUAUAC